rnacentral:rRNA from 1 species
GACGAACGCUGGCGGCGUGCUUAACACAUGCAAGUCGAACGGAAAGACCCUGCUUUUGUGGGGUGCUCGAGUGGCGAACGGGUGAGUAACACGUGAGUAACCUGCCCUUGACUUUGGGAUAACUUCAGGAAACUGGGGCUAAUACCGGAUAGGAGCUCCUGCUGCAUGGUGGGGGUUGGAAAGUUUCGGCGGUUGGGGAUGGACUCGCGGCUUAUCAGCUUGUAGGUGGGGUAGUGGCUUACCAAGGCUUUGACGGGUCGCCGGCCUGAGAGGGUGACCGGCCACAUUGGGACUGAGAUACGACCCAGACUCCGACGGGAGGCAGCAGUGGGGAAUAUUGCACAAUGGGCGGAAGCCUGAUGCAGCAACGCCGCGUGCGGGAUGACGGCCUUCGGGGUGUAAACCGCUUUCGCCUGUGACGAAGCGAGAGUGACGGUAAUGGGUAAAGAAGCACCGGCUAACUACGUG